rnacentral:tRNA from 1 species
GGGCGCGUCGUCCAGUUGGUUAGGACGCCGCCCUCACACGGCGGAGGUCGCAGGUUCGAAUCCUGCCGCGCCCACCA